rnacentral:rRNA from 1 species
GACGAACGCUGGCGGCGUGCUUAACACAUGCAAGUCGAACGAAGAGCGACGGAAGCUUGCUUCUAUCAAUCUUAGUGGCGAACGGGUGAGUAACGCGUAAUCAACCUGCCCUUCAGAGGGGGACAACAGUUGGAAACGACUGCUAAUACCGCAUACGAUCUAAUCUCGGCAUCGAGGAUGGAUGAAAGGUGGCCUCUACAUGUAAGCUAUCACUGAAGGAGGGGAUUGCGUCUGAUUAGCUAGUUGGAGGGGUAACGGCCCACCAAGGCGAUGAUCAGUAGCCGGUCUGAGAGGAUGAACGGCCACAUUGGGACUGAGACACGGCCCAGACUCCUACGGGAGGCAGCAGUGGGGAGUCUUCCGCAAUGGACGAAAGUCUGACGGAGCAACGCCGCGUGAGUGAUGACGGCCUUCGGGUUGUAAAGCUCUGUUAAUCGGGACGAAAGGCCUUCUUGCGAAUAGUGAGAAGGAUUGACGGUACCGGAAUAGAAAGCCACGGCUAACUACGUG